rnacentral:rRNA from 1 species
GACGAACGCUGGCGGCGUGCUUAACACAUGCAAGUCGAACGGAAAGGCCCUGCUUUUGUGGGGUGCUCGAGUGGCGAACGGGUGAGUAACACGUGAGUAACCUGCCCUUGACUUUGGGAUAACUUCAGGAAACUGGGGCUAAUACCGGAUAGGAGCUCCUGCUGCAUGGUGGGGGUUGGAAAGUUUCGGCGGUUGGGAUGGACUCGCGGCUUAUCAGCUUGUUGGUGGGGUAGUGGCUUACCAAGGCUUUGACGGGUAGCCGGCCUGAGAGGGUGACCGGCCACAUUGGGACUGAGAUACGGCCCAGACUCCUACGGGAGGCAGCAGUGGGAAUAUUGCACAAUGGGCGGAAGCCUGAUGCAGCAACGCCGCGUGCGGGAUGACGGCCUUCGGGUUGUAAACCGCUUUCGCCUGUGACGAAGCGUGAGUGACGGUAAUGGGUAAAGAAGCACCGGCUAACUACGUG